rnacentral:rRNA from 1 species
GCGAACGCUGGCGGCAGGCCUAACCCAUGCAAGUCGAACGAACCUUUCGGGGUUAGUGGCGGACGGGUGAGUAACACGUGGGAACGUGCCUUUAGGUUCGGAAUAACUCAGGGAAACUUGUGCUAAUACCGAAUGUGCCCUUCGGGGGAAAGAUUUAUCGCCUUUAGAGCGGCCCGCGUCUGAUUAGCUAGUUGGUUGAGGUAAUGGCUCACCAAGGCGACGAUCAGUAGCUGGUCUGAGAGGAUGAUCAGCCACAUUGGGACUGAGACACGGCCCAAACUCCUACGGGAGGCAGCAGUGGGGAAUCUUGCGCAAUGGGCGAAAGCCUGACGCAGCCAUGCCGCGUGAAUGAUGAAGGUCUUAGGAUUGUAAAAUUCUUUCACCGGGGACGAUAAUGACGGUACCCGGAGAAGAAGCCCCGGCUAACUUCGUG